rnacentral:tRNA from 1 species
GCCCGGGUGGUGGAAUCGGUAGACACAAGGGAUUUAAAAUCCCUCGGCGUUCGCGCUGUGUGGGUUCAAGUCCCACCCCGGGCACCA